AUUAAGAGAUGAUGAUUUUUUUUACCGCCCCAGUCUGAAUUACCUGUGACUGAGUGGUAUUAUUCUGAUUGCU
rnacentral:snoRNA from 1 species